UUGGAGGGCAAGUCUGGUGCCAGCAGCCGCGGUAAUUCCAGCUCCAAUAGCGUAUAUUAAAGUUGUUGCAGUUAAAAAGCUCGUAGUUGAAUUUCGGGAUCAAUAUGUUGGUCGUGCCUUGGUACGUACUGGCAUCGUUGAUUUCUACCUUCUGAAGAACCUCGAUGUCAUUAAUUUGGUGUCUUGGGGAAUCAGGACUGUUACUUUGAAAAAAUUAGAGUGUUUAAAGCAAGCUCACGCUUGAAUACAUUAGCAUGGAAUAAUGAAAUAGGACGUUUGAUUCUAUUUUGUUGGUUUCUAGGAUCGACGUAAUGAUUAAUAGGGAUAGUUGGGGGCAUUAGUAUUCAAUUGUCAGAGGUGAAAUUCUUGGAUUUAUUGAAGACUAACUACUGCGAAAGCAUUUGCCAAGGAUGCUUUCAUUAAUCAAGAACGAAGGUUAGGGGAUCGAAGACGAUCAGAUACCGUCGUAGUCUUAACCAUAAACUAUGCCGACUAGGGAUCGGAUGAUGUUAAUUUUUUAAUGACUCAUUCGGCGCCUUACGGGAAACA
rnacentral:rRNA from 1 species